ACAUUGGUGGUUCAGUGGUAGAAUUCUUGCCUUCCGUGUGGGGGAUCGGGGUUCAAUUCCCAGCCAGUGCA
rnacentral:tRNA from 1 species